UGUGUAGGCGGUUCUUUAAGUUUGGUGUGAAAUCUCCCGGCUCAACCGGGAGGGUGCGCCGAAUACUGAGGGACUCGAGUGCGGGAGAGGAAAGUGGAAUUCCUGGUGUAGCGGUGAAAUGCGUAGAUAUCAGGAGGGACACCGGUGGUGUAGACGGCUUUCUGGACCGUAACUGACGCUGAGACACGAAAGCGUGGGUAGCAAACA
rnacentral:rRNA from 1 species